ensembl:lncRNA CYP4F30P cytochrome P450 family 4 subfamily F member 30, pseudogene
GUCCCUGUAAGCAUCACAUUGCUGGAGGAAAAUCUCAUGCCAGAGCUUGGACCAUCCCUAGCUCAGGGGUUAGGGGUUGUCCCUUGGUGACCUAAAUGAAAAAACAGGUCCAGAACAGAGUUCCUGAUGCUGGACACUCAUUCAGUCUUUGAAUCGUGGGAGGGGAGGCCUGGUACUAGGUAGACCUAACCUCUUUGAGGAACCACAGAGCCCAAGGCUGGAAACCUCCAGAAUCCUCCACCCCCUGAUCCUCCCUGGGGACCCCUGUGGCCUGUCUCACUGAGCACUCUUCCAUCUGUAGAUGUCUGGGCUGCUGUACAAGGGAGUCCCCUUUCAGGUGUGGUGCUAGACAUGGUCACUCCUGCUGGAUGUCUAGGUGGUAGAAACCAAGGACCUAGGGAAAUACCAGGUACAGCCUUUCCAUGCUCAUCCAGAGCAGGACAAACAGGCCAGGCGGUGUCAGGAGCCCAGGUCUCCAGCUGGAGGGAACGUCAACCCUUCGGUGGGAGCAGGGGCCCUUUGCACAUCCUAGGCACAGAUGGUAAUGUAGACACCACAGGUAAGCUGGGCUUGGUACCUACCCCUCCCCGGAUUCAGAAAGAAACCAAACAAGGAGCUUUGUGCGGAAUGAAACCUCCUUUCCUCCCAGAAGCACUGCUGACUGUUUGGUGGUUGCCAUUUGUGGCAGUGAGCCUUUGUUUGUUCUGAGGUUGGGCUGGUUUCUCCUCUUGGCCCUGCCCUACAGAUCAUAAAGGAGAAGAGCAAGAGGUCCCCAGCAAACAUCCACAGAUGGCCUUGGAAAUAAGUCACCUUCCUCACCCUGCAGGAAUGCCAGUGAACUUAUUGCUGACAUCUUGGAGCUCAGUACCCUCAUAGUGUAACGGCGUCAGCAGAUCUGCCUGUGCUGGGACUUCCUGUACUACCCAUUCCUGAGGGGCAAUGCUUCUGCAGGGCCUGUGACUUGGUGCACAACUUCAGACACCAUCAUCUUGCAGCAGCACCGCACCCUCACUAGCCAGGGUGUUGAUGACUUCCUCAAGGCCAAGGCCACAUUCAAGGCUUCGGACUUCAUUGAUGCGCUUGUGCUGAGCAAGGUGGCUUCUCCGGGAUCUUAAUUCAGGAGGUAGAAUGGAGCUUGAGAUCAAGUGUCUGAUCAAGCCUCAGUGUAUGGGCGCUGUUCAUCCUCUGGUGCUGAAGCAGCCAAGAGACCCAAGUCUGCCUGGCUGCCUCUUAGGAUAUGACAGCAGAGCCAGUGGCCUCUACUAGAUCCUGUACAACCUCACAAAACACCCAGACAUCGGGAGUGCUGCCAGCCUGUGAUGCAAGAGUCCUAAUCCUGAAGACAUUGAAUGGAUCAUGAGGAUCAGAGAGGAAAAGUCACUUGCCCAAAGUCACACAGCUGAACAGUGGUGGAGUUCAACUUUGACCGUGGGCUGUCUGGCCCCAAGGUGUAUGCUUGCUUCUCUCCCAAGAGACAACUUUCUUAUCAGGCUCAAAUGAAUGAAAGGAGGAUGUUAAAGUUCCUAGAAGCUUUAAUUGAAUGAAAGUUCCUAGUAGAUCUGUACCUACUAAAAACCACACUUCUGAAGCUACGUGGCCACCAGAAGACACAGCUAGUCUGCCAUGUAAAAAAGGAAAGGUGGCGUGUGCCCUGAAGGUGCAGGGGUGAGAGCAGGGAAAUGGAGACCCCAACAGCCAGCAGCAGUGGCCCUCAUCACAGCCCUCCAGGAGAUAUCAAAGGAGGUCAGACCUUGGACAGUAGUCUUGACUUCCUGCUAUAGAACACAUUGUUAACACUGAAAAAGAUGAUCUGUUCUAGGGGAAUGGUGAAAGCUGACUCUAGCACUUGUACUUUUUGUUUGUUUGUUUGAGAUUGAGUCUUGCUCUUGUUUCCCAGGCUGGAGUGCAAUGGGUGAUCUCAGCUCACUGCAGGCUCUGCCUCCUGGGUUCCAGCUAUUGUCCUGCCUCAGCCUCCCGAGUAGCUGGGAUUCCAGGUGCCCGCAAGUGUGCCUGGCUAAUUUUUAUGUUUUUAGUAGAGAUGGGAUUUCGCCAUGUUGGCCAGGCUGUUCUCCAACUCCUGACCUUGGCCAAAGUGUUGGGAUUACAGGCAUAAGCCAUUGUGCCCGGCCUGUGUUUUUAAUUUCAUCGUGGCACAGCUUCAAAAUGACAUCUAAGUAGCUGACAUAAAAAUGAAAAUUCUGUGUACUUUGAUAUUAGCAGGCUUCAAAUACAAACCAGAAUAUGAGUAAA